rnacentral:rRNA from 1 species
CCUGGCAGUCAGAGGCGAUGAAGGACGUGCUAAUCUGCGAUAAGCGUCGGUAAGGUGAUAUGAACCGUUAUAACCGGCGAUUUCCGAAUGGGGAAACCCAGUGUGAUUCGUCACACUAUCAUUAACUGAAUCCAUAGGUUAAUGAGGCGAACCGGGGGAACUGAAACAUCUAAGUACCCCGAGGAAAAGAAAUCAACCGAGAUUCCCCCAGUAGCGGCGAGCGAACGGGGAGGAGCCCAGAGCCUGAAUCAGUGUGUGUGUUAGUGGAAGCGUCUGGAAAGGCGUGCGAUACAGGGUGACAGCCCCGUACACAAAAAUGCACAUACUGUGAGCUCGAUGAGUAGGGCGGGACACGUGGUAUCCUGUCUGAAUAUGGGGGGACCAUCCUCCAAGGCUAAAUACUCCUGACUGACCGAUAGUGAACCAGUACCGUGAGGGAAAGGCGAAAAGAACCCCGGCGAGGGGAGUGAAAAAGAACCUGAAACCGUGUACGUACAAGCAGUGGGAGCCUCUUAAUGGGGUGACUGCGUACCUUUUGUAUAAUGGGUCAGCGACUUAUAUUCUGUAGCAAGGUUAACCGAAUAGGGGAGCCGAAGGGAAACCGAGUCUUAACUGGGCGUUAAGUUGCAGGGUAUAGACCCGAAACCCGGUGAUCUAGCCAUGGGCAGGUUGAAGGUUGGGUAACACUAACUGGAGGACCGAACCGACUAAUGUUGAAAAAUUAGCGGAUGACUUGUGGCUGGGGGUGAAAGGCCAAUCAAACCGGGAGAUAGCUGGUUCUCCCCGAAAGCUAUUUAGGUAGCGCCUCGUGAAUUCAUCUCCGGGGGUAGAGCACUGUUUCGGCAAGGGGGUCAUCCCGACUUACCAACCCGAUGCAAACUGCGAAUACCGGAGAAUGUUAUCACGGGAGACACACGGCGGGUGCUAACGUCCGUCGUGAAGAGGGAAACAACCCAGACCGCCAGCUAAGGUCCCAAAGUCAUGGUUAAGUGGGAAACGAUGUGGGAAGGCCCAGACAGCCAGGAUGUUGGCUUAGAAGCAGCCAUCAUUUAAAGAAAGCGUAAUAGCUCACUGGUCGAGUCGGCCUGCGCGGAAGAUGUAACGGGGCUAAACCAUGCACCGAAGCUGCGGCAGCGACACUAUGUGUUGUUGGGUAGGGGAGCGUUCUGUAAGCCUGUGAAGGUGUACUGUGAGGUAUGCUGGAGGUAUCAGAAGUGCGAAUGCUGACAUAAGUAACGAUAAAGCGGGUGAAAAGCCCGCUCGCCGGAAGACCAAGGGUUCCUGUCCAACGUUAAUCGGGGCAGGGUGAGUCGACCCCUAAGGCGAGGCCGAAAGGCGUAGUCGAUGGGAAACAGGUUAAUAUUCCUGUACUUGGUGUUACUGCGAAGGGGGGACGGAGAAGGCUAUGUUGGCCGGGCGACGGUUGUCCCGGUUUAAGCGUGUAGGCUGGUUUUCCAGGCAAAUCCGGAAAAUCAAGGCUGAGGCGUGAUGACGAGGCACUACGGUGCUGAAGCAACAAAUGCCCUGCUUCCAGGAAAAGCCUCUAAGCAUCAGGUAACAUCAAAUCGUACCCCAAACCGACACAGGUGGUCAGGUAGAGAAUACCAAGGCGCUUGAGAGAACUCGGGUGAAGGAACUAGGCAAAAUGGUGCCGUAACUUCGGGAGAAGGCACGCUGAUAUGUAGGUGAAGUCCCUCGCGGAUGGAGCUGAAAUCAGUCGAAGAUACCAGCUGGCUGCAACUGUUUAUUAAAAACACAGCACUGUGCAAACACGAAAGUGGACGUAUACGGUGUGACGCCUGCCCGGUGCCGGAAGGUUAAUUGAUGGGGUUAGCGGUAACGCGAAGCUCUUGAUCGAAGCCCCGGUAAACGGCGGCCGUAACUAUAACGGUCCUAAGGUAGCGAAAUUCCUUGUCGGGUAAGUUCCGACCUGCACGAAUGGCGUAAUGAUGGCCAGGCUGUCUCCACCCGAGACUCAGUGAAAUUGAACUCGCUGUGAAGAUGCAGUGUACCCGCGGCAAGACGGAAAGACCCCGUGAACCUUUACUAUAGCUUGACACUGAACAUUGAGCCUUGAUGUGUAGGAUAGGUGGGAGGCUUUGAAGUGUGGACGCCAGUCUGCAUGGAGCCGGCCUUGAAAUACCACCCUUUAAUGUUUGAUGUUCUAACGUUGGCCCCUGACCGGGGUUGCGGACAGUGUCUGGUGGGUAGUUUGACUGGGGCGGUCUCCUCCUAAAGAGUAACGGAGGAGCACGAAGGUUGGCUAAUCCUGGUCGGACAUCAGGAGGUUAGUGCAAUGGCAUAAGCCAGCUUGACUGCGAGCGUGACGGCGCGAGCAGGUGCGAAAGCAGGUCAUAGUGAUCCGGUGGUUCUGAAUGGAAGGGCCAUCGCUCAACGGAUAAAAGGUACUCCGGGGAUAACAGGCUGAUACCGCCCAAGAGUUCAUAUCGACGGCGGUGUUUGGCACCUCGAUGUCGGCUCAUCACAUCCUGGGGCUGAAGUAGGUCCCAAGGGUAUGGCUGUUCGCCAUUUAAAGUGGUACGCGAGCUGGGUUUAGAACGUCGUGAGACAGUUCGGUCCCUAUCUGCCGUGGGCGCUGGAGAACUGAGGGGGGCUGCUCCUAGUACGAGAGGACCGGAGUGGACGCAUCACUGGUGUUCGGGUUGUCAUGCCAAUGGCACUGCCCGGUAGCUAAAUGCGGAAGAGAUAAGUGCUGAAAGCAUCUAAGCACGAAACUUGCCCCGAGAUGAGUUCUCCCUGACUCCUUGAGAGUCCUGAAGGAACGUUGAAGACGACGACGUUGAUAGGCCGGGUGUGUAAGCGCAGCGAUGCGUUGAGCUAACCGGUACUAAUGAACCGUGAGG